CUUGGAGGAAUGUAUAGCAACUGCUAGUUGCACUAAAAACUUUAGUGUAAAAUCAACUUAGUUGAAUAAAAUUCUGGGUAGAAUUAUGAUAAUGACAUUAUCUGUCCAUAAGUCUUGACCAAAUUACGUGCCAGCAGUCGCGGUAAUACGUAGAAGACAAGUGUUAUUCAUCUUUAAUAGGUUUAAAGGGUACUUAGACGGUAAAUCAAGCCUUAAAAAGGGACUAAUUUGCUAGAGUUUUAUGUGAAAAAGUAUUAAAGUACUGCUGGUGUAGAGAUGAAAUUCUGUCAUACCUUUGAUGGCACAGGUUAAGGCGAAAGCAUCUUUUUAUGUAAAAACUGACGUUGAAGGACGAAGGCUUUGUGUCUCGAACAGGAUUAGAUACCCUAGUAGUCUAAGCAGACAAUGAUGAAUGUCAUAGAUUAGAUGUAAUUUGAUCUAUAAAUGAAAGUGUAAGCAUUCCACCUCAAGAGUAAUUUGGCAACAUUGGAACUGAAAUCAUUAGACCGUUUCUGAAACCAGUAGUGAAGUAUGUUGUUUAAUUUGAUAAUCCGCAAAAAACCUUACCACUAUAUGAAUAGAUAUAUUUUAUCAUACAAGCGUUGCACGGCUGUCUUCAGUUAAUGUCGUGAGACUUUGGUUAGUUCCAUAAAAUUAACGUAAACCCUUACUUUAUUUACUAAUAAAGUAGUUCACCGCUAUAUUGGAUGUGAUAACAGGGAUCAAGACAAGUCAUCAUGACCUAAAUAUUAUGGGCU
rnacentral:rRNA from 1 species